rnacentral:ncRNA from 1 species
UUCUGAAAAAGGCAUAACCAGAGAAAUCUGGCGACGCAAAGCCACGGAUCCUAACCCUCACGGGAAGGAUGGCCGGGCCGCCAAG